AGCUCCAAUAGCGUAUAUUAAAGUUGUUGCAGUUAAAAAGCUCGUAGUUGGACCUUAGGCAAGGCGGCCUGGUCACCCUCUGGGUGUACUGGGAUCGCUGCGCCUCACCUUCGGGGAGCUAGUCGUGCUUCGGUGCGCUAGGGAACCGAGCCUUACCUUGAGGAAAUUAGAGUGUUUAAAGCAGGCUUAUGCUUGAAUACGUUUGCAUGGAAUAACAUGAUAGGACUUUGGUUCUAUUUUGUUGGUUUGAGGACCAAAGUAAUGAUUAAUAGGGACAGUUGGGGGCAUUAGUAUUCAAUAGUCAGAGGUGAAAUUCUUGGAUUUAUUGAAGACUAACUAAUGCGAAAGCAUUUGCCAAGGAUGUUUUCA
rnacentral:rRNA from 1 species